GCGCGGGUGUUGUAACGGUAGCCAAGCCAGCUUGAGGUGUUGGUGCCCGCAAGGGCGUGGGAGUUCAACUCUCCCCCCGCGCA
rnacentral:tRNA from 1 species